rnacentral:pre_miRNA from 8 species
GCCGGGUGACCCUGGAAAUCCAGAGUGGGUGGGGCCUGUCUGACCAUUUCUAGGCGACCCACUCUUGGUUUCCAGGGUUGCCCUGG